rnacentral:lncRNA from 1 species
CCAGGCUGAGCUGGGCCCAGCUGCCUCCAGUUCCCUCCCUCACUUUUCUGUGAGGUGUUGGAAAACAAGGCGUCUCUUUCUGCCCUGGUCAGCUACCAGGACCUGGGGGUGGGUGUCGGGGGACCCCGAUCCCCAGUCUUGGCCCAGCCCAGGAAAGAAGUCUGCUUUGUGGUCCUGCAUCCUGUCACCUUCUGGACACAAGAGGGCCGUGAACCACUAUGCCAUAGCUGUACCACAGCUGUGCCACACCUGGAGCAGAGCCAGGCCUGGGGGAGGCAGGUGGCUCUAGGCUCAGCUUAGCCCCGCCCCUCUAUCGCAUGGCAAGUGCCAUACAGUCAUCCACAUGUCCACAGUCACAGAGACAAUUGCCCAACACAAAGCAGACACAGCCACACAGCCACACAAUCUGCCCUCAGGCACAUAAGCCACACCUGGCCACACACACAUAGGCAUGGUCAUAUACUCAGCCAUGUCCACAAACGUGUUGUCAUCCAUUCACAGCAUCAGCCUCAGCCACAUCGUCACAGCCAUACCAGCGACACACACACAUUUAAACACACACGGCCACAAUAUCAUACAUGCUUAUAGCAAAGGUGUCACACAUAUGUAGCUGCACUUGGACUGCAGCUGCACCACCUUCUGAGGGAGCCAGCUGGGCUCAUCUGUCAUCUGACACCAUCAAGUUCCAUUCCUCAUUGCACAGAUGGGGAACUUGAGGUCUAGUGAGGGGUGGCAGCUAGUAGCAUCACCCAGUGGGGAAGGGGGAUGCUCCAGGGCCAGCACCCAGCUCUCGGCUGGCUCUGUGGUCUGGCCUUGCCCACCCCUGGGCCAGGCUGCCUCUGAAGGCCCCUGGCUGAACCCAGGCAACAAAGCUCCAGGCAUCUCCCAUCUCUUGAGCCAGAGCUGAGGCUGCGGCAUCUACGCGAGCAGGAGCCAGGAGGUGGUGGGCAGGGCCCAGGCCUGGGCGGGAGGAACAUUCCUGCACCAUCUCCUCCCCAAGCAUGUGAGGACUGGGCCCGCCCUGCCUGCCUGCCUGCCCGCUGACUCAGGCCUCCGGGAGCCAAGCCUGCUCAGCUCACCACCUACCCCAACUUGCUUCCGCACCAGUUCAGCUCCAGUACCUCUCUCCACUGGCUGGGGCAGAAGGAGACGGUGAGCUGUAGCAAAAAGACCACGGGGAAAAAGAAAAAUUCACCUCCCCCAGACAUAGCUCAAAAGGGCUGAUUGUGAAACCCUGCUCCAGGGUUCAACAUAGUUUAACACAAACCUUUUUUCCUCUGGUUUUGUUUUGUUAGUCAAACCCCAAAUGCAGUCUGGUCUGUUUAAAAAGCAGUGUUUCAUACAGUGGUGGCCUCCUUGGUCUGCACAGCAGCCCUGGUAGGCAUCAUUAUUCCAUUUCACAGAUGAAGAGACCUGCCUAGGAUCAUACAGUGAGGCUGAGGUGGGGCUGGACUUGAACACAGCUCUCUGGCUUCAUUCCUUAAAGUCACAUGAUUAACACAUGUAGGUCCGAAGGAAGAGGGGGUGGCAGAUGUCCGCUCCAGAGGUGUGUAAGAAUGGGAGGCCGGCAAACCAACUGCUGAAAUGCGACGGGACUUUGAGGGUAGGAUGAGUCCCACCAGCCCCCAAGGGAUGAAGAGGCUGACGACAGCAUUGCAUGGUGGCAUCUACAGUGACUCAGGAUCUCCAUUUACAAAUAACCAUGUGUGAGGAACAUCCCUUCAUUUCUCUGUCACUGACCUGAAUUUCUCUUUUGCUUUCUCAUUCUCCCACAUACUAAAAAAGGUAAUCUGAAACCAACGUAGGGAUCCCUCCUUUCCCCAGGGAUGCACAUAAAUUUUGGAGAUGGCAUAUUUGAUGACCAUAGACAGGCCCCUGGCACUUUGAAUUUUAGGGGCUGAAUCACACACAUGAAAUGUGCCUAAUUCCACAUUAAGGGUAAAUCAUAUAUACGGAUUUGAGUUGGG